UUGGUCGGAAUUGGGCCCAUAGAUGUUACUCGAGAGUUGGGCCGGAUUGGGGUUUUAGGCCCAAACCCAAACCGGCCCGAACCGAUAUCCACCCCUACAUGCCAUAGUCUUCAACCUUGAAAUUUUUUUAUUAGUUAAUUGACAUUGGUAGCUUCGUGUUGUGUGAGAAGGAAUAAGGGAAAGGAAGUAAUUAUCAUUGUCACACAUACUAUUAGAACUACUAGUGCUUUCGUAACUCCCAAGUAUAUCUAUUUAUAAAGGAGGAUAUGGCUUAUAUAGAUAAUUCCGACAAACUGCCCCCCUCCUCUUUUUACGUCCAGUUUGAUGCAUUUGUUUUUAAGGGUGAGCUUUGCAGUCAACUAACCUCUUCUAUUAUUUUAGGUUGUUUUAUUUACAUCCUUUCAACCGAUUCUUUCAAAAGUGAGGUGUCUAAUUUCUUAAUUGUGGUCUUCUCAAUGGAGUGGUUGAAGGUGAGUUUAUGUUUUCCUUUUUGCAACGUUAUUUUUGUGACUCUCCCCUUAAUUGAAGUUUUGUUUUGCUUACUUUAAUUUUUUUAGUGUACUAUUGAUGCUCUUAGAAGUAUCAUCUACUUUUCUUCUUUUUAAAUAUAUUAAUUGUUUGCUAUUUAAAAUAAAAAGUCUUUACUUUCUUUCUAUGUUAUAUUUAAAGUCUCUAAAAUCUUUUCUUAAACAACACAUAUGCAUCAUAAUUUUGACGUGUAUAGUGACUUCCUGCUCAAAAUAUAUGAUACUAUAUUACACAUAUGCAUGAUUAAAUGUCAUAAAGAGGCAAACAAAAUAUAUAAAUAAACAUAAGGGAUAUUUUAAUAAUAGUUAUGAUAUUUUGAAUUAACAUUUAAUAAUAUUUUUUAUCAAAUGUUUUUUAUCGAUGUAAGGAAGGAUCAACUUUAUAAUUUAUAAAGUGACUAAACCAUUUAUUACAUACAUGGAAAAGGAAGAAAUAUGACUAAAAUUGUAUUGUUUGUUUAUGUCAUGAUUAUCAUAAUUUCUCUGAUUUUUGCUGCUAUGAACAUUGAAGCGUUCUUAUAUCCACCGCUUUGUUGUUAUAGUGAUUCGGAUUGUCCUCCAUUUAGGUGUUGGAGACCUUGGAUAGCAAAGUGUGUCAAUAGAUGGUGUAGAUGUGUACCUGAGGAAGACAUAUGAUAUCAUUUGUGAUGUCACUUAGCUUUUGUUUUUAUUUCCUUUUUAUUUUUAAAGUGCACCUUGACAUCAAAAAUGACACUAAAUACUUACACUAUGCUACUGUUUACUUACUGAGAACAGUAUAAUAGUACUAGUGAACAAUAUCAGUAAAUAGUAAUUUUUAGUGGUAAAUAAAAGUUGGUUACUAAAAUUUAAAAAUUUUAUUAAUAAAAUAAUGAAGUUGGUUAAUAAACGCUCAAAUAUUGAAAAUAGUUUUUAGUAAGUUGGUUAAUGAAAUAUAUUAUGUUGAUUAAUAAAGUUAUAAAGUGGGUUAAUAAAUGUUCAGAUAUUAAAAAUAGUUUUUAAUAGUAAAACAAUGUUGAUUAAUGAAAUGUAAAAUAUUAGUUAAUGAAAUUAUGAAGUUGGUUAAUAAGCGCCCAUAUAUUAAAAAUAACACUAAUAGUAAAAUAAAGUUGAUUAAUGAAAUGAAAAUGUUGGUUAAUAAACUCCAAAUAUUGAAAUUAAUUUUACACUACUAGAAAUACUCCAUUUUCCUGCGGAUUUCAGUUAAAUUUCCACAGGAAACACGUUUCCUGCGGUUUUUCCUGCGGCUUUAGGUCCCCAGCUAAAACCUUCGUGGGUAAUAAUUUUGGCAGGAAGUUCCGCAGGAAAUUCCGCAGGUAAAUCCGCAGGAAAUUUCCGCAGAUAAAUCCGCAGGAAAUUUCCGCAGGUAAAUCCGCAGGAAAUUUCCGCAGGUAAAUCCGCAGGUAUU